rnacentral:rRNA from 1 species
GGGCAGCAACGUCACGCGGUGGAGGUCGCCGGUCCGCCGUACUCUGUGUGCACAUCCAUGGGAUCCCCACGACACACGGCUCUGCCACGAGGUUGUGGUAGAGUUGGUCUUCUCCCCCGCUGGCCAGAAGAUGUCACCACCUGUGGCAAAGAUUAGCAGGGACUACAAGGUUGUUGUCGGAUGCUCAGGAAUGCAGCGGGAGUUCGCCUGUUCUCGGCUUCCUGUUCGGAGUUGUAUAGUGCCACCCCUGUCGACUCCACCAGCAGCGGGAUCCAGGUCCCCCCUGACCUCUUCCUUUGUACUUGGUUGACAAAAACCACUAAGCAAUCCUCAUAGUUCAAAAGUGCUUCAGGUCCAACUCCAGGAUAUUUGAUUCAGUACUCAGUUUCAGUUCCAAGUUUCAGUGCUUCAGAAAUAUUGGUUUUGGUAAUCAGCUUGCCGAGAUGGUACCUGGACAUAAUUUACUUGCGUGCUAUAGCGUGUAGAAAAUUGUCUAGUUAAAUUGAUCAGUGUACAAUCUCUCGCUAAUAGCAUAUUUUCAGAGGCCACGCUAUUUUGUAUAGCACGCUAUUCAUUAGAUCUAUCUACUCCUGUAUUUUCAGUCAAAAAAUACACUAUAUGUUACUAUGCUAUAUUUCCUAAGUUAUGUAUAGAACCUCUGCCUAUAUACUUGGAUCACCGGAUUGUUCAAUUCUUUUUAUGCAACAAAACUAUAGAAUUACUACUUAUCAUUGCAGUGUCGUGUUCUGUGUAUACCAAUAUCUCUACCACUAUAAUACACCAUUCUUGAAAUUGGAUUCACCACCCACUUGCUUUUUAGUCUGCUUCGGUACUGAUCACCUCGACUAAUGAACUAAUAGCCAAGAUACAGUGCAGAGAGUAAACUUGCUGGGUGAUACAUGAGAGCAUUUAUAUAAUGGUCGGUUCUAUCAAGUUUUUUACCAAUUUAUACUGAAUUAAACUUCUUGAUAUGGCGACAGGGUCUCCAGUGUACAUGAUUAUCGAUUAAAUUUGUAUAUAAACUUCUUCCAAUUUGUUCAAUUGUAAGCCUAGUGAUGUAACAAUGAACGUUGAUUGUAUUGUUCUGCUCUUGGUUAGUACAAGAAAUGCUUGAGUUGUCAAUCAGGAAGAACUUCAAUUCUUCAAGCAAGAACUCUAUACUGGGCUUUCAAAUAAGUUGGACUGUAGAUAAUGUCCAGAUUUGUGACCAUUGAUGCUUGUGCUUUCUUCUUCAUCUUCUGGUGAGGAAGAAGGGAAAAUGCUGGAGCCAAUAGUUGUUUAGUGGGACUAUGUUCUGAAUUGACAAAGCUAAAGGAAGCACAUGCCAUCUAUCUCUCAUAUUGGUUAUUUGGAUGGUGAGAAAUCACCAUGCCUAGCUAUUGAGAUUAGCUUGUUCUGAUAAAAAAAAUCAAUGCAAGGAAGGAAACAGAAUAUGGGCAUUGCAACUAUAGAAUGGUGAUUAGAUAUUCUUGAUGGAGAGGCAUAGAUUUCUAAUGUCGGUCUUUGAUAGAGUUCACAUAUGGCUGCAGUUUUUGCGACUACGGAAUUGUGAUUGGAUAUUCUCGAGUAUUCAGUUCUUCGGUACUGUUAAUCGAACAUACACUGGAAGUCAAAUUUCCAGGUAAAUCUGAUCAAGACUACUAGAUGAUUUUGCUAAAAAAAAGACUACUAGAUGAUCCAAAUGGAGGAUUAUUUCACUUUCAGACCCACUUUGUAAUUGUACAUCAUUGUCUUACCACAGAAGUUUAGAUGGACAUAGUAUCCAGGAUACCAACUAUUUGGAACUCCUCUCUACAAAAAAGGCUUAAGGGGAUUGGUAACUGGAGUUCAGAGCAUAAAAGUAUUCUAAUUGCCAUGCCUACAGUAUUGUCUACACAGAUUUGAGAGAGGAAUAGAUGGAUAGAUGAGCAAUGGACCAUUAAAGUUGCUUUCCAUGGUUCUCUUCGGGACCAUUGCAAAAGGUGGUUUUGUUUGGAUAAAGGUCAUCAAGCUAAGGUAAGCUCUCCAUAGACUGGAACAUUAUCAUGUCCAUGCCGGCGAGGAAACCAUGUGACCUUCUCAUCCCAAUGUCUUUCCCUCCUUAUCCCUUUCUCCUAUCGCAGUUCCCUCUCAAUGCGUUAGUUUUUUCGUCGUCGCUAGGUUCCCAUGGCACUCUGCCACACUCGCUUCAGUAGUUCGUUGAUUAAGAAGUACGAGUGGGUGGCCAGCUGCAAUGUCUAGAUGGAAGACCUUCCCUGUUCAGAUUUAUUUUGGGUUCUUGAUUCCUUUUUCUCAAUGGUUAUAUGUAAUUAGUACAACAUUAGGAAAAAAAAGUAUACCAUGUUUGUGGCUGGAUGCAUUGAGUUGUUGGAAUUGUUUGUUAGAAGUGCAUUCUUGAUUGCCUUACCAAUGGUCCAAAAGAAAUGCACAACCGGUGAAAUUGACCGUGGUUUUAAUGUACUUUUGUUACAAUAGUUUUUUUAGGAGCAAAGGACAGUGGGAGAGAUCUCCCACUGACUUGUAACUAUAAAAAGAAGGACGUCUGUUACAUUUACAAUACACUAGAGUAUAUUUCAUUAUUUCCCAGUUUGGACAUACUUUUUCUAUUGGUUUGCUUCUCAUAAAUAUUAUCAUGCAUGUCUCAGCUGGUGAUUCUGUGAUAGUGGUGUGCUCUCAUAAAUAUUAUGUGUUUCCAGGAAGAUGAAUCCUUUUCGAAUAGGGACCAGGUUGGUUACUUCUUCUGUAAUUAUAUGUUUCAGUGAUAGCUGCUUGAUUAAAUGGUUCCAUCUGUUUCUUAUUCUUCUCAUCCAACGUAGAUAAAUAGAUUAUAUGCUUUUGUGCCGAAUCACGUGGAAGGUCGAGAUGACCGCACAUACGUAUUUUUUUAUGUUUAUUACCGCAUGGAUGCCUACUGACCCUAAAUAUAUUUGGUUAAAAUGUUUUCCUAUGAAGUUUCUAUACUAUAUAAGAAAGUUGGUCUCAACUAUUUGAGGUCAUAUUCUAUUUUAAGGAUUACUCAUACAGUUUCAUAGCUGAUUCAGUUGCAUUAGUUGAGAACAAGUGUUUGUAUCAAUCUUGUUUUUCAGGUUACUUGUAUUGCAUAUUGAUGGAUUUCUUGCAAGCUUGUACGCCAGAUUUUAUUUCAACUGUAUGUAUUCUUUUCUUUGACAAGAGGGUAUGUAUUCUGGACAAAUUCUGUUAGAUUAAAUGGUUGGUCCGAUCCAUGUGUAAUCAUGUAUUAUUUGGGAUGAGACUUGUAUUUUUAGUCAGUAUAAUUUUAUAAUGGAUUGAACAUAUUCCUGUAAUUUUGAACUGUGAAACACAUAGAAGUUAGUUAAUUUUGGUAGUAUUUGUGGCUUGUUGUGCUCACCCCAGAGGCAUCGCAGAAGCUUGCCCAUAUUUCUGAACUGAUGUCAUCCUUGCUAUGACAAUUCUUGAUCUUGGGCCACAUCAGAUUCAUAUGUUUUGUGAAUCGGUAUGUUGAAUAAAUCGAGUCGCUCAGGACGGCCACAUGAUUCAAGCUGAAUCUGAUAUCAUUUGUGCCUCCGUGCUCACUUUUCAGGUGGGUCAUAUAACUGAAAAUCUAAUAAUACCAAGAGUCUAAGAAAGACGAAUACCUGAAGAGAUUGAUGAGCCUUCCUAAUCAGGUUCCCUUCUAGCAUGCAUUUUUACCUUCUUUAUCAUUUCUCUUAAGGAUAGUCUUUACAAGGUUAUCUUGUGAUCAGUUUGAUUUGAAAAAAAUGGGCUGAAAUAAUUGGACAGGCGGGCCAAAGCAUUGAUAUCCUGAAGAAGCACAAUGUUAUCAGAUCUCUUCUUAACAUUUUGCAGAUUAAGUGAUCAGUGUCAGGCGCUAUUGUGUGUUUGACAACAACACUACUGAUGUGGCACAAUCUGCCGGGAUGAAGCGGCAGAUGCCAUCGCAAGUGUUUGCACAUGAUGCAGCAAUAGACAAAGCAUAUCAAGAUGCACUGUCCUAGGCUCCUAGCUGUUGAAAGGUUCAUGCAGCUCCAAGUGUUCUUGACCCAUGAAGUAGCAGACUAGCAGCCACAUACAUAUGUUUACUCUGCAUGGAGAUUCAGUAUGCAUAUAUCAAGAACAUAUAUCAGUCCACAGAAUAGGGGCGGAUCUGACAAUGUUAUUCCCGUUUUCUGGCAACAAUCAGAGGGACUGCUAAGCUCUUCGGCAUAUCCGCAGUCAAUCUGGUAGCAAAAGCAGUUGCAAAGGAAAGUUGACUACACUGACAAAAAAUAUGUUUUGCUUUAUUCUAUUCAGAACUAUACUACAUUAUAUCUUUAGACUGGGACACCGAUGUAUAGACCAUCAUUUUUUAGUACUUUGAAGAGGUUCAUGGCAAAAGAUAAAGUUUGAGAUGUACAUGGCAUAACUCUCACCUUUGAGGUUCUUCAGGACAGGUUCAAGAUUACAUUCAAGGAGAGAAUGUAGCCAUGGUGACACAAAUAAAGUGUAGCAACUGCCACCAUUGCAGGAGAGGAGUAGUCGGGGCCUAUCAUACCAUGUAACGACUUGAAGGCUUCCACGCGCCACCUCCUUCUCCCCCUCCUGUGCCGAGUCGAGAACGGAGCAGCGACAAAGCAGAGGUAGACAUGGACACGUGGUAGGAGCCAAGGGGGGAACGGGGAAAGGCGGACGCUAGCUCUGGAAUCAGCUGUGUCAGCCGCUGCCAGUGCCACCGUGUCCCGCCGCAGCCUAGCCUGGUCGCAACAAAAGUAUGGCUGCAGGUGUAGUUCAUUCAGUUUUGCAGUUCGAUUUACUUGCUUGUGCAUAUGUGCGUGUAUACUGAGAGAGAGGGAGAGAUUAUUCUGUUCUAGCAGUCGUAUUUAUGUGACAAAUCUGCUCCCCUCCACUCUUUUUUGAUUUGCCUGAAAUCUGAAUGUGAAAAGCAGUUGCAAGUUGAGAGCAGCAGAGUAAACGUUCAAAAGUUCAGAGUGCAUGUUUUUGAGAUUCAGAGGACGUGUAAGCUGGAAGAUGGGUUGCCAUGCUUUGUAAGUAUGAUUAGUUG